rnacentral:rRNA from 1 species
UGAGGAACAUGACCUUCGGCGGGGGAUAGCCGGCCCAACGGCCGGGUAAUGCCGCGUACGACCUUUUGGGGACAUCCCCGACUGGUGAAAGCAGCAAUGCGCCGAUAGAGUGCCUCGCGGCCUAUCAGCUUAGUUGGGUGGGGUAACGCUCACCAAGGCAACGGACGGGUAGCUGGUCUGAGAGGAUGGCCAGCCACAGUUGGGACUGGAGACCACCGGCCCAGACCUCCGACGGGGAGNAGCG